CGUGAAGCUACAUUUGCGCAUGCGCGGCCCUGGGGGAGGGGCGCAGAGGCCUCGCGCUUGCGCCAUAGGCGCAUCUUGUCUCCACAGUGGGAGGUUCUGUUCGCCCACGCCUCCCGGCAGCUUCGGUGUCAUGGCGACGGCGGUUCCGGGUCUCAGGUCCCACCGCCGUCGGCCCAGGAGCGGGUGGCGUCCGCGCCAGACAGGUUUUGUUUUACCUCGAAGAUACUCCUCAUCUGAAACCUUCCAUGGGCACAGAGGCUCCUGCAAAGGAAGAAUCAGCAGCUGGGUCAGUCUGGUGAGGAAGAUCUGGCCCCGAACACGCUGGCUGAGGUCCUACUGCUGAUGGAGGAACCCUCUGUGAUUUGACUCAACAACUAAGUGUCUAUGAAACACCCUGCCAUUUUGACUAUGUGUAUUUCUUGCUCUCAAGGAGGAGAAAGAAAUAUGCAGUGGGAGCCAGAAAGACCCAGACUGAGAAUGUGGCUAUGGUCCUGGAAAGGUUCUGUGAAGAGAUGGGGGGAAAGAAGACAUGGCAGCUGGAAGAAGGAAUUACAGUGCCUUUUGCAAACAUUUAUCCAAUAUCUUGUCUUCCCUGUGACUAAUGUGCAAGUCCUGCCUUUGAGAAGCUUACAGUCAAACUGGGGAGACAGCUUUGUACACCAGUGCUGGUCAAUGUAAGGGCAGAAUGGGACAAAUGGACUCCUGAAGAGAAAUAAAAGAAGAUUUUCCUCCUAAAGAUGCUUAUCUCUGAAAGAAAUGCUGGAAAUAAUGCCAGGGGAAACUAAAGGACUGAUUAUCUUUAAAAAAAAAAAAAAAUUGGGCAGGGAGGGUAUAGCUCAGUGGUAGAGCAUGUUCUUAGCAUGCACGAGGUCCUAGGUUCAAUCCCUAGUACCUCUAUUAAAAGAUAGCUAAAAUAAAAAUAAAUAAACCUAAUUAUCUUCCCCCACAAAAAAAUAAAAUAAAAUAAUUUUUUAAAAGUUAUCUGGGAAGUUUAGGGAACCGGGUUCCAACCAUUAUCUGCAGAAAUGUUGCUGUGCCCAGAGACAUGCAGUCACUAAGGCUGCCCCAGUUGAAGAGAGACCUCUGUGUUUGACAUCUUUCACAGGUGUCUUGGGAUUUAUGGAACACAAAUUUCAAAAGUCAAUUUUAAUAACAUUUAAAGAAAGAAAAAGGAAAGAGUUUGUUAACAAGCCCAGGGCCCAGGAAGGUCACUCCAGUUUCUCUACCCAUGUUCUCAUUAGAAGUGACUCUAGCCCGGGGCUCAAAGGGAGCAAAUCCAUUUGAGCAAAUACGGGGGGAAUCCUGAGACCCCUUCUCCUGGGGAGUCAUGAAGUAAAGAGAUUUGGGGCCAGUGCUCUGAAACCACGUGCACCAAAGAGCUCCACUCCUCCAAGAAGAAAACCCAAAGAUUGCCCUGUGGGCAAGACCCCUGGUAUCUGCACCUUUCCUGUGGAAGGCUUCUUUGUUUAGACAUCAUCCUUGCCUGCUUUUUUGAUAUAUCUAUCUUUAGACAAUGAACAAGUGAAACCCAACAAGGCAAAGCUAAGUUAGGAUUGGCUAUGACCACAGACCACCAUUUCUGGCUCAAGGUGGAUAAAUAAAAGGGUUCAGAGCACAACCCCACCGUCAUCUCCACCCCACUUCACUGAAACCAUCACCCAACUGCCCUGGCAGAGGCUGGGCUGUGGACUGCUGGCGAAACUUCUGCCCUACCAAGUAAUCCACCUUUAGAUUGACAGUGGAACACAGUAGAAAAUAUCUGAAUGUCGGUCGAAGAUGCACUUGGUGUGGCUCAAAGGGAGAGGGGCCUCUGUAACCAGUUCCAUCUCUUGGUGUCUUGCAGUCUUCAUCUCACUAAGCAAUCAAACUGAGACGUAACUCAGAGGAAGAGCAUCUCUCAUUUUGGCGGAUCUGCUGGACUGCUUCUGCUUAUGCACUGUGAGAAGCACCAUAUUUUCAAGAAAAUACAAAAUGCAGAAGUGAAAAAUAUUUUGAAGUAAACAAUUUUAAGUAAAAAAAAGGUUGAAUACUCAUUUUAAAUGA